GACGAACGCUGGCGGCGUGCUUAACACAUGCAAGUCGAAGAUCGUGGCGGACGGGUGAGUAUUACGUGGGUAACCUGCUCUCCUUUUUGAGAUAAGCGUUGGAAACGGGGUCUCCUACUGAAUAGAGGGGGAGGGGCUCGGGGCCUAUCAGCUUGUUGGUGGGGUGCUGGCCUACCAAGGCGGUGACGGGUAGCCGGCCUGAGAGGGUGACCUGCCACUUUGGGACGGUGAUACGGCCCAGACGACUACGGGGGGGAGCAGUGGGGGAUAGUGCACAAAGGGCGAAAGCCUGAUGCAGCGAGGCCGCGGGGGGGAUGCGGGCUUUCGGGUUGUAAACGUCUUGCGCAAUCGAACGGGUAGGUGGAGAAGAAGCGCCGGCUAACUACGUGCCAGCAGCCGCGGUAAUUC
rnacentral:rRNA from 1 species